GACACCGAGUGCGAGGGCAUAGAGCCCUCGCUUUUGUGCAUCGUAAGGUGGUACACGAAUAAGGGCUGGGCAAGACCGGUGCCAGCCGCCGCGGUAACACCGGCAGCCCGAGUGAUGGCCGCUUUUAUUGGGCCUAAAGCGUCCGUAGCCGGCCGUUCAGGUCCGUCGGGAAAUCCACUGGCUCAACCAGUGGGCGUCCGGCGGAAACCGAUCGGCUUGGGACAGGGAGACCAGAGGGGUACGUCCGGGGUAGGAGUGAAAUCCUGUAAUCCUGGACGGACCACCGGUGGCGAAAGCGCCUCUGGAGAACUGAUCCGACGGUGAGGGACGAAAGCUGGGGUCUCGAACCGGAUUAGAUACCCGGGUAGUCCCAGCUGUAAACAAUGCUCGCAAAGGUGUGUCGCAGGCUACGAGCCUGCGAUGUGCCGUAGGGAAGCCGAGAAGCGAGC
rnacentral:rRNA from 1 species